ensembl:lncRNA
UCUCCCAUUCUGUGGGCUGUCUUUUUCACUUUUUUUCUUCCUUCUUUUUGUAGGGGGAAAUGAGGCCUUGCUAUCUUGCCUGGUCUUGAAAUCCUGUGUCCAUGUGACCCUCCAACCUCAGCCUCCCAAGUAGCUGGACUACAGCAGGAAGAGACUACUCCUCAAAACCACCAAAGAAACCUAUUUUCUGAUACAGAGAUUCAGGGACCACAGUCCACAGGCAUGGGUGAGUCUGAGUGAAAAGACAGAUGACAUAAUCCUCCACUCACCAAGCCAAGACCCAGAGCACCCUGAAUUUGGAAUUAGGCCCUGAAGUGAGG